GGCCUCGUAGAUUAAUGUAGAUCCACUGCCCCUCAAGCAGUUGCGUGCCGGUUCGUUGCCGGUCGGGGCCACCA
rnacentral:tRNA from 1 species